UGAGCAGGCGGUUUUAUAAGUCGGAUGUGAAAUCCUACGGCUCAACCGUAGAACUGCAUUCGAUACUGUGGAACUUGAGUACUGGAGAGGAAAGCGGAACUCAUGGUGUAGCGGUAAAAUGCGUAGAUAUCAUGAGGAACACCGGUGGCGAAGGCGGCUUUCUGGCCAGAUACUGACGCUGAUCCGCGAAAGCCGAGGGGAGCGAACG
rnacentral:rRNA from 1 species